CCUACGGGGGGCAGCAGUGGGGAAUAUUGCGCAAUGGGCGAAAGCCUGACGCAGCGACGCCGCGUGAGGGAUGAAGGUCUUCGGAUCGUAAACCUCUGUCAGCAGGGAAGAACGGUCACUGUGCUAAUCAGCAGUGAAUUGACGGUACCUGCAAAGGAAGCACCGGCUAACUCCGUGCCAGCAGCCGCGGUAAUACGGAGGGUGCGAGCGUUAAUCGGAAUUACUGGGCGUAAAGCGCUCGUAGGCGGUAUGUCAAGUCAAGGGUGAAAUCCCCGCGGCCAACGUGGGAACAGCCUUUGAAACUGGCAGACUGGAGUGUGUGAGAGGAGAGUGGAAUUCCAGGUGUAGGGGUGAAAUCCGUAGAUAUCUGGAGGAACAUCAGUGGCGAAGGCGACUAUCUGGCACAUAACUGACGCUGAGGAGCGAAAGCGUGGGUAGCAAACAGGAUUAGAUACCCUAGUAGUC
rnacentral:rRNA from 1 species